rnacentral:rRNA from 1 species
AGCGAACGCUGGCGGCAGGCCUAACACAUGCAAGUCGAACGAACUCUUCGGAGUUAGUGGCGGACGGGUGAGUAACACGUGGGAACGUGCCUUUUGGUUCGGAAUAACUCAGGGAAACUUGUGCUAAUACCGAAUGUGCCCUUCGGGGGAAAGAUUUAUCGCCAUUAGAGCGGCCCGCGUCUGAUUAGCUAGUUGGUGAGGUAACGGCUCACCAAGGCGACGAUCAGUAGCUGGUCUGAGAGGAUGACCAGCCACACUGGGACUGAGACACGGCCCAGACUCCUACGGGAGGCAGCAGUGGGGAAUCUUGCGCAAUGGGCGAAAGCCUGACGCAGCCAUGCCGCGUGAAUGAUGAAGGUCUUAGGAUUGUAAAAUUCUUUCACCGGGGACGAUAAUGACGGUACCCUGAGAAGAAGCCCCGGCUAACUUCGUG